GCUCAGAAACUCAAUGAAUUGACGGGGCCCGCACAAGCGGUGGAGUAUGUGGUUUAAUUCGAUGCAACGCGAAGAACCUUACCUGGUCUUGACAUCCCGGAGACCCUUAGGAAACUAGGGGUGCUUCCAUCUGGAAGAAUCUGGAGACAGGUGCUGCAUGGCUGUCGUCAGCUCGUGUCGUGAGAUGUUGGGUUAAGUCCCGCAACGAGCGCAACCCUUGCCUUUAGUUGCCAGCAGUUCGGCUGGGCACUCUAAAGGGACUGCCGGUGUUAAACCGGAGGAAGGUGGGGAUGACGUCAAGUCCUCAUGGCCUUUAUGACCAGGGCUACACACGUACUACAAUGGCCGAUACAAAGGGCAGCGACACUGCGAGGUGAAGCCAAUCCCGUAAAAUCGGUCUCAGUCCGGAUUGGAGUCUGCAACUCGACUCCAUGAAGUUGGAAUCGCUAGUAAUCGUGGAUCAGCAUGCCACGGUGAAUACGUUCCCGGGCCUU
rnacentral:rRNA from 1 species